GUAAAAUGCUUUGUCAGUGGAGAAAGCUGGAAGGUGGGACCCGGAGCCUGGGAGCCCAGCGGCUGCGAGUGUGUUUGCCCUGCCCUUGUGCACCUGCUCUCUGUGGUCAUCUUCACAUGUGGCUGUCCCUCGAGCGGCCUGGUGAGCUUACCCCGGGAAUGGCUUAGCACCUCCCGCCAGCUUCCCCGGGACCUGAGCACAGUGUGGACAUGAUGGACGUCACCAAGCAGAAGGACUGCUAGAUGAAGCUGAAGUUUUUGCACUACUACUACGGCACCAACCUGAAGCAGGUCAUCAAGUUCACCAGCCUCAAGUUCUGUGACACCAGAGCUGACAUGGUUUUGACCAAUGAUGGCUGUGAUUUCUGGGGUGGAGGCUGAGAUCUGCCAGUGUCCUUUUUGCCCGAGGACACUGAGACCUGAUUCUCAGCCGAAUGUCCAGCUUCAUGGAACCUCCUGACAUUAUAAAAAACAGCCUUUGGGAGAAAACUGCUGGCCUGAUGAUGCUUUGCUGGCUAAACUCAAAGUGCCCAAGUCCUGCCUGAUGUGUGUGAAGGACAGCUACACUGACUCCUGCAUUGGUUCAGGAGGUGUCUCUGCCUGGUUCCACCUGCUCAAGCCUAAGUGGGGCCUCCCCAUUUCUUGGAGACACAAAGCAAGAAAUGUUGGCAGAUGUGUCCACUGUCAACUAUGAAUUUGAGGACGAGUACUUCAGUAACACCAGUGCCCUCGCCAAAGAUUUCAUAAGAAGACUUCUGGUCAAGGAUCCAAAGAAGAGAAUGACAAUUCAAGAUAGUUUGCAGCAUCCCUGGAUCAAGGAUGAGGACGACUCCUUUGUGAUGAAAGCCAUCAUCCAUGCCAUCAGUGAUGACAACGUCCCAGGCUUGCAGCACCUUCUGGUUAACCAACCCAACAAGAGCCUUUUAAAUUGCAUUGUACCUCUACCCAUGAAACUGUAAACCUCCUCAUCCUGCAAAUGAAAAUGUCACCUUUGAUGGUGAAUCCAAAAGAGGAAGUGUCAUUGGAUUCUUCUGAGUGUCCCUUUCCUUUUAUGCAGCAGUAGCGUGGGACAUCUCUGUUACUGAUUGCUGCCGGCUGUGGGAAUAUUCAAAUACUACAGCUGCUCAUUAAAAGAGGCUUGAGGAUUGACGUCCAAGAUAAGGGCGGAUCCAAUGCCAUCUACUGGGCAUCUCGGCAUGGCCACGUAGAUACCUUGAAAUUUCUCAAUGAGAACAAAUGUCAUUUGGAUGUUAAAGACAAGGUAAGGUCACUUGUUUUCUUAGGGGAGACAGGAGGGAGUAAUAAAAGGAUGCAUUUGGGGGUAUGGUGUGCCAUGGGCAU